AUGAGGGCCGCCGCCGCCGCCGCCUCCGCAGCCGCUGUCAGCACCGCCGCCGCCCCCGCCGCCGCCGCCGCCGCCGCCGCUGCCGCCGCGCGGACCAUGCACGUGGGCCGCUCCGGGCUUCAGCCCAGGCCCAUCCGUCGCCCUCCCCUCCGCCCAGAGACAGGCAUGCCCGCCCUUGGAGGAGAAAACGCGGGAGAGACGGACCCAGGAGGCAUUUUUGCAGUCCAAGGAAGGAGGGGCCAAAAAAUAAGCAUAAUAAACACCCAGACUGUUUUAUAUACAUAUAUAACAAACAAAACCGGAAGAGAAAACGGGGCGAUCACGAGAUCUCGUUUAUACUGUGGUGGUGUUUCGUUUUUGUUUUUGUUUGUAAAGAAGGGUGAAGAUGCCUGACGCACCAAAACUGCACUCGUGAGGUUUUCCCACCCUGAGAUGAUCUACAGGGCAGCGGUGGACAGCACCUGCCUCGACUUCUCCUCUUUGAAAAAAAGAGAGAGUCCCCUUUUCUUUCACUUUCUCUCUCUGAAACAGCUGCCUAAAUAGAUCCACGGAAACUUUAUUUCCUGGGAGCGACCUGAGAGAAAACAGAGGCACCCGGUUCCAUUAGGGGAUGACGCUGUGCUCUGGGACCCUGUUUUUCUUGGCCAUAUUAAAGUCAUUUGGAAACAAACAAAUCAACUCUGAAACGGGAAGGAGGGGGGAAAAACAGUCUCCGGGAAAGAAAAAUAAUAAUAAUGAUUAUAUUCACAGCUUCUGAAACUAACAGACUGAAUAGCAAAGCCAAAAGAAAAGUAUCCUCAAAGUAACUUGGAAAUAAAAGCAUCGGGAAGGCGCUGAGGGAGAGGGGAGUGGCAAGAGGCCCGGGCUGAGUCGGGUCGCAGCGGGCGGGCAGACUGGGAGUAGAGCGGGGCCCCAGCCAGCGAGGCCGCCGAGCCAGGCCCGGCCCUGUACUCAGUCGUUGACGACUGCCAUUCAGGGUGGACGAUGCCUAAAGAUUCCACCGCUAAUAUUUUUUUUAUUAAUAUUUUUUAUUUUUUAUUUCUGGACUGACUCAGAUAAAGGAAUUUAGAAAGACUGAGCACCAGCCGCUGCACUUCUCUGGACUUCUCUCCUCAGUCCUUUGCCAACUUUGAUUGAAUGGGUGCUGUGGAUGUGAUUAUAUAAUACUGCCAUUUCCAAGCAGUGUUUUUGGUAGGUUUUAAUAAACAGACUUUUCAAAAGACGGCAAUAUAGAAUUGUUAGAUCCGUUGUUGAUCUAAAAAUAUUUGCUUUAUAUUUUCAUUAAAUGACUUCUUUUAAUAUUUUAUUCAGAAUACUUAUGAACUGCUGCAAAACGGUAAUUUAUUUUUCCCCAGAUCUUGUAUUACGUGUUUUUUUCAGACGAGCACAAAUCAAAAUGAAAUGAAAAUAUGGACAGUUGUUAGGUAAUAAGGGUAUCUUUUGAUGUGAUCAUUUGAUUGUAAUUUAAUUUGAGUAGUGAUUCCGUAAGAGCUGAUCGAGAAAAUAAAUUUGUUAGAAUGAAA